UACAGAGGAGCCAAGCGUUGUCCGGAUUGACUGGGCGUAAAGCGCACGCAGGCGGUCGGGCGCGUGGGGUGUGAAAUCUGGCCGCUUAACGGCCAGGCGCCAUCCCAUACGGCUCGACUGGAGUGAUGCAGAGGUCGAUGGAAUUGCCGGUGUAGUGGUGAAAUGCGUAGAUAUCUGGAGGAACACCGGUGGCGAAGGCGGCAUCCUGGACCAUUACUGACACUGAAAAGCGAAAGCCAGGGGAGCAAACGGG
rnacentral:rRNA from 1 species